rnacentral:rRNA from 1 species
GGGUGGUAAAUUUCAUCUAAAGCUAAAUAUGGGCCGGAGACCGAUAGCGCACAAGUAGAGUGAUCGAAAGAUGAAAAGCACUUUGGAAAGAGAGUUAAACAGCACGUGAAAUUGUUGAAAGGGAAGCGCUUGCGACCAGACUCGCCCGGGGGGGCUCAGCCGGCACUCGUGCCGGUGCACUCCCCCCCGGGCGGGCCAGCGUCGGUUUGGGCGGCCGGUCAAAGGCCCCCGGAAUGUGUCGCCCUCCGGGGCGUCUUAUAGCCGGGGGUGCAAUGCGGCCAGCCCAGACCGAGGAACGCGCUUCGGCUCGGACGCUGGCGUAAUGGUCGUAAGCGGCCCGUCUUGAAACACGGAC